rnacentral:rRNA from 1 species
UACGUAGGGUGCGAGCGUUAAUCGGAAUUACUGGGCGUAAAGCGUGCGCAGGCGGUUUUGUAAGCCAGGUGGGAAAUCCCCGGGCUUAACCUGGGAAUGGCAUUUGGGACUGCAAGGCUUGAGUGCGGCAGAGGAGACUGGAAUUCCUGGUGUAGCAGUGAAAUGCGUAGAGAUCGGGAAGAACACCAGUGGCGAAGGCGGCCGGCUGGGGGCGCCCUGACGCUGAGGCGCGAGAGCGUGGGGAGCAAACCGG